UUAAAUUGCUUUUAAUCCCACUUAAAUUUGAUUUGAGAGCAUAAUAUAAACUGAUAAAUUUAAAAUAUGUUACUUAAAAUAUUUUAAGUGCAUGUGGGUGCUUUUUCAUACGACAAAGGCGCUGAGAAACCGUGUUGUCAACAAUGGGAACACCCACACGCAUUGUGGCCGGGUGACAAAUCGCAUUUUUCGGCAAGAUCAAGCGAUCACAACAAAGUGCCAACAGGGCCAAUAGGGGAAAAUUGUAUUCCCAACAAAUAAUUGCUUAUCGUUUGUUUGGCGGACGCAGGCUGCUGCGGCUGAUAAUGUCAUUAUCCUGGACGCAGGGAAAAGGAGUCCUUCUCGCCACAUGACGUCACCAGCUUAUUAAAUGUCAUAUUAAGCAUGCCCAGGAGCAGGUCGAAAGUCUCUGGCACUCUGGAAAUGUUGAUGUUUGCUCGGGCGAAACACCUUGGAGCCGAGGAAAACCACCUGACCCCGGCCAGAUCAUCUAAUUGAAUGACAAUAUUAUGCCAAGGCCUAAUUCAAUUUGCAUUGCUUGGGAAUCGCUGCAGGUGGAGUAGCUCGAACCGAACAUGGGCUGAAUCUUAAACAAACACGCCAAUUACAGCCAAACGGAUGCACUUGUCUGGCUGGCCAAAUGACUUGGUCCUGUAAUUAGCCCGCAGAUGAAAGGAUGCGGGAUGGGCUCACAUGCACGCCCUCUUUUUCUGGCCUUUUGUCGGCCUUUCUCGGGGGUCCCGGCUAAUUAUCACAUUUUUACUCAUUAAUUCACAUUUGCCUGUUUUUUCUUUGUUUUUUUCCCGUAUUUUUGGCAGGUCCUGCGUUGAUCCUGCUGCCUAAUUACAGGGUAAUCAGCCUUUCAGCCGCAAUGGCUACUGAAUGGUGAUUGAUUGAGGCGUGUAGGAGUGACAUCUGCCGAUGCGCGUGCCAAACAAAAGAAGGCGAGGAAAGUGCAAACAGCAGCUGAAAUGGAUAUGGAAAGCAGCAUCAGCGCAGCCAAGGAAAAAGCAAAUCGAAAACUGAUUUGGAGCGGAAGUUCGUUUGCACCUUUCUGCAGUUUCCUGUAUAUUUGCCGCCGCCGCCGCCGCCACCGUCGUUAGAACAAUAAAAACACACACAAGCUGCGGAAUCCAACAGCCACUUCCAUUGCAUAUCCACAAUCGCAAUCAGAAUCGUCGAGUGUUCUAUAUAGUACGAAUACCUUGACUUGUCUUGGCCUUUGACGCCGUCUUUUGUACUAAGAGAGUUGAGAUGGAUGGAUGGAUGAAGUCACCGCCCGUUGGCUUUUGAAUGAGCUGCAAAUCAAAAGCUAUAUACGAUUUCACACAAGUAUGGAUUAAGGAUAUGCGUGUGCACGCAGAGAAAUAUUGCGAUGCUUUUG